GCCAGACUCCUACGGGAGGCAGCAGUGGGGAAUAUUGCACAAUGGGGGGAACCCUGAUGCAGCGACGCCGCGUGGGUGAAGGAGUACUUCGGUACGUAAAGCCCUAUCAGCAGGAAAGAAAAUGACGGUACCUGACUAAGAAGCCCCGGCUAACUACGUGCCAGCAGCCGCGGUAAUACGUAGGGGGCAAGCGUUAUCCGGAUUUACUGGGUGUAAAGGGAGCGUAGACGGUCCUGCAAGCCAGAUGUGAAAGCCCGGGGCUCAACCCCGGGACUGCAUUUGGAACUGUAAGGCUAGAGUGUCGGAGAGGCAGGCGGAAUUCCUGGUGUAGCGGUGAAAUGCGUAGAUAUCAGGAGGAACACCGGCGGCGAAGGCGGCCUGCUGGACCGCGACUGACGUUGAGGCUCGAAAGCGUGGGGAGCGAACAGGAUUAGAUACCCCAGUAAAA
rnacentral:rRNA from 1 species